UACGUAGGUGGCAAGCGUUGUCCGGAUUUAUUGGGCGUAAAGGGCGCGUAGGCGGAGAGGAAAGUCAGAUGUGAAAUGCCAAGGCUCAACCUUGGAACAGCAUAUGAAACUCUCACUCUAGAGGAUAGGCGGAGGAAAUGGAAUUCCACAAGUAGCGGUGAAAUGCGUAGAUAUGUGGAAGAACACCUGUGGCGAAAGCGGUUUUCUAGCUUAUACCUGACGCUGAGGCGCGAAAGUUAGGGGAGCAAACAGG
rnacentral:rRNA from 1 species